GCUACUUCCUGGGCAACAAUGGUCUCUUCCUAGAAUGCUGUCGGGGAGAAACUGUGUCACAUGGAAGGAUGCUUUCUGGUCAAACUCCCAUCAGAGCUAACAUUGAUGCCGUUGGGCAAAUAGCACUCCUGGCCGAGGACGGCUGAAAUGAUAGUCACUAGAUACAGACACAGCCAUGCUGUGCGCGUUAGCACUGGGAAGGCUGAGAUGACGCAGGUCUCCGCAGUUCGAGGUUACCCAUUGCAAGUCUGCCCCAUCUCCCCUUGCAGGACGACCUCUUCUUUCCUCAGGGGGAAGGCAUCGACCAGGUUGAAGAGCUCAGUGGGGGUGACGAGGGCCACAUAGCGUUCCUUGUCUGUGCCGUGUUUGUCCAAGACCACGGUGGUGAAGGCGUACAGAGGCAUGCGCAGGAGGAGUCUGAAAGCAGACACCAUGGAAAGAGUGUCAGCUGGGGCGUGGGCACCAGACUUGAAAGGUCCUUGGGGAUGGGAAUCGUGUCUACC